UGCUUCGUGCCAAUUAGUGGCGGACGGGUGAGUAACACGUAGGUAACCUGCCCCAAAGCGGGGGACAACUUUUCGAAAGGAGAGCUAAUACCGCAUAAGACUACGGACUGGGAUGUUUGUAGUAAAAGGAGCGAUCCACUUUGGGAGGGGCCUGCGGCCUAUCAGGUAGUUGGCGGGGUAACGGCCCACCAAGCCUAAGACGGGUAGCCGGACUGAGAGGUUGAACGGCCACACUGGAACUGAGACACGGUCCAGACUCCUACGGGAGGCAGCAGUGGGGAAUUUUGCGCAAUGGGGGAAACCCUGACGCAGCGACGCCGCGUGAAGGAUGAAGGUCUUCGGAUUGUAAACUUCUUUUGUCGGGGACGAUGAUGACGGUACCCGAUGAAUAAGCCACGGCUAACUCUGUGCCAGCAGCCGCGGUAAGACAGAGGUGGCGAGCGUUGUUCGGAAUUACUGGGCUUAAAGGGCGCGUAGGCGUCCUUGUAAGUCAGAUGUGGAAGCUUCCCGCUUAACGGGGAAAUUGCAUCUGAUACUGCAGGGAUUGAGUCAGCAAGGGGAUGGCGGAAUUCCAGGUGUAGCGGUGAAAUGCGUAGAUAUCUGGAGGAAGGCCGGUGGCGAAGGCGGCCAUCUGGUGCUGAACUGACGCUGAGGCGCGAAAGCGUGGGGAGCAAACAGGAUUAGAUACCCUGGUAGUCCACGCCCUAAACGGUGGAUACUAGGUGUAGGGCUCGCAGGGUUCUGUGCCGAAGGGAAACCAUUAAGUAUCCCGCCUGGGGAGUACGGCCGCAAG
rnacentral:rRNA from 1 species